CUGCUCAAAUUUUCAACACUGUAGUGUUGCACAUGGGAAGUAAAGACCUGGUAAUCUCAGGAAAGUAGAAAAGAUUUACCACAUACUAAAGUCCUUUUGUAAAUUCUGUUGAUAAAUUUCGAAAUAUUUAAGAAACGAAGAUUCCAACUUAUUUAGGUAAAGUGCUUUAGGAGAGCCAGAUUUAUAGUCUUAAAUUACCACAUAUAUCAGUCGGUGUCAAUCAGAUGUGAUCCUAUAGCAAUACCAAACGAGAACUGACAAGAUAUUCUAUGCGAGCUUAAAAGGGAUAUGAAAUAAGGCAUCACUGUUUAACUCCAGAGUAAUCAAGUAAACAAGCAAGGCAGACACCACAAUAAAAUAUUUUUUGAGUGAAGUCUUUGAACAAAUGAAAACUUUCAAAA
rnacentral:lncRNA from 1 species